rnacentral:misc_RNA from 1 species
UUUCCGUAGGUGAACCUGCGGAAGGGUCAUUAUUGAAUAACCGUGGUGUGGGGGGUGUCGCUGUCUAGACAGGUCGUGACCGCCCGCGUGCCGUCACACACAUCCAUCUCACACCUAUGUAAAUUACUGCGAGGGUCAACACUUGGAAUAAUCGGAGGGGGGGUUACGUUUUCACACAAAAUUGGAAUACAGCGUAGAAUGUCAUUUUUGUUUUUCCGACCACCCUAUCAAUAUAAUUUUCAACAACGGACUUCUUGGCUCUCGAAUUGAUGACGAACG